rnacentral:rRNA from 1 species
CCUACGGGAGGCAGCAGUGGGGAAUUUUCCGCAAUGGGCGAAAGCCUGACGGAGCAACGCCGCGUGAGGGAUGAAGGCCUCUGGGCUGUAAACCUCUUUUAUCAAGGAAGAAGAUCUGACGGUACUUGAUGAAUAAGCCACGGCUAAUUCCGUGCCAGCAGCCGCGGUAAUACGGGAGUGGCAAGCGUUAUCCGGAAUUAUUGGGCGUAAAGCGUCCGCAGGCGGUCUUGUAAGUCUGUCGUUAAAGCGUGGAGCUUAACUCCAUUUCGGCGGUGGAAACUACAAGACUAGAGUGUGGUAGGGGCAGAGGGAAUUCCCGGUGUAGCGGUGAAAUGCGUAGAUAUCGGGAAGAACACCAGUGGCGAAGGCGCUCUGCUGGGCCAUAACUGACGCUCAUGGACGAAAGCUAGGGGAGCGAAAGGGAUUAGAUACCCCUGUAGUCCUAGCCGUAAACGAUGAACACUAGGUGUCGGGGGAAUCGACCCCUCGGUGUCGUAGCUAACGCGUUAAGUGUUCCGCCUGGGGAGUACGCACGCAAGUGUGAAACUCAAAGGAAUUGACCGGNGNGAGAAGUGCGAGACGACACGAGGAGAGG